UACGUAAGGGGCAAGCGUUGUCCGGAAUCAUUGGGCGUAAAGAGCGUGUAGGCGGCCCGAUAAGUCCGCUGUGAAAGUCCAGGGCUCAACCCUGGAAUGCCGGUGGAUACUGUCGGGCUCGAAUCCGGAAGAGGUGAGUGGAAUUCCUGGUGUAGCGGUGAAAUGCGCAGAUAUCAGGAGGAACACCAAUGGCGAAGGCAGCUCACUGGGACGGUAUUGACGCUGAGACGCGAAAGCGUGGGGAGCAAACAGG
rnacentral:rRNA from 1 species